UACGUAGGGCGCGAGCGUUGUCCGGAAUUAUUGGGCGUAAAGAGCUCGUAGGCGGCUUGUCACGUCGGGUGUGAAAUCUCGGAGCUUAACUCCGAAACUGCAUUCGAUACUGCCGUGCUUGAGGACUGGAGAGGAGACUGGAAUUUACGGUGUAGCGGUGAAAUGCGUAGAUAUCGUAAGGAAGACCAGUGGCGAAGGCGGGUCUCUGGACAGUUCCUGACGCUGAGGCACGAAGGUCAGGGGAGCAAACGGG
rnacentral:rRNA from 1 species